UUGCUCACGGCUUUUAUUGCAUGUUUAAAUGAUCUCACAACAGGCAAAAUAACGGUUACCGUUGCGGCCACACCCCACAACAAGCUAAAACCACUGAACUCUAUAACUGGAAUGGCCCCGAUCGUUUGCUGCGCAUUGGAGGAUUGAAGCCACCGGAAGUAUAGAACUCGCCAUGUUUUUUCACCCAAAAAAAGAAAGCCUCAGAACUAAGAGGAGUUCGAGAUGCCGUCUUGUGCUGCUAUUAAUUACACAAAUUGUGAAAAUCGCGAGAAGGGACUUACAUUUCACAGAUUUCCACACUGCUCAACUUCUAAAGCAAUGGGUAGUAAAUAUGCGGAGAGACAGGUGGAUUCCUGCAGCCAGAUCGCAACUCUGUUGUAGUCAUUUCCCCGAGGAGAACUUCGACAGGACCAGCCAGACUGUUCGAUUACGACAAAAUGCAGUUCCAACAAUAUUUGACUUUCCUGAUCAUCUUCUAAAGCAAGAUGGCCGACCAAUGGCUUCAUGCGGUCAGCAGGGACGCCCCUUCCAGUAGUAUAGAGUUCAGUGGCUAAAACAACUCUGAAACCCCGAUGUCACUUCCUGUCCGCCACUGAUUCUGCUCCCCUACAAGGCACUAUCAGGAAGGAGUGCAAAGAAAUCAGACGGAAGACACCUGGUCGAGUGUUUGGCCACAGGCGCACGUGAAGGGGCUUCGGUACCAACAGUCUUUACAAUACUCAUUGGCACAAUAUCUGCACAGGACCAUGGGCUUUCUGGUGCACGGCCGCCCACAGCCGCAGCGAGCCAGUUCUUUGAGCUUGUGCUGGAUUUGGCACAAGCUGAUGCCGUCGCAGGACGCAGCGUGGAAAACUCGGCAGUUGAGACACGCCAGCUGGGGGUCGGGGCGGGUGAGGUCGCAGCAGUCGUGGUAGCUGAUUGGUUGGUGAAUGAGGCUCAGUGACUUGGGCUUAUCGUACAGAGACAAAGCCGACAUCGCCGUGCUGCUGCUGAGGGUCGGCGAUACGUUGGACGCCGCCGCCACUUCUUUCAUCUUGACCGGGAGCCGCACUUGGUGGCCUUCGCGGGAGCACCGCAGAAGCGUGGCGCAGGAGGUGUCGUGGAAAGCGUCGCAGUCGACGCACUGGUUCAGGUGGAGGCGAGGGGAGCGGAGGCAACUGCAAACUCUGCUGCUUUCCGCCUCUAUCCUAUCAGCUUGCAGACUGCGAGGUUGGAGGUCCGCAUCAACAGACUCCUCGAUGUGCCGGCCCACACUGGAUGAGGAGCGUCCGAACGGUUCCGACUCGGACGCGCUAGCGAGCUGGCAGUUGAGUGUGGAGAUGCAAAUGUGUUCUCUGGAGGAUGGGAAGGACAGGGGACCGUUGUUGCGGACAGCCCGCGCCGGCAUGUGGGGGCUGUCGUCGUCAUGAACGACCGUCACCCUCUGUCCCCCGUUAACCUGCUUGUCUGUGUACAGAUCCACAUCUGAUUCCCCAUCAGACUCCAUCAGCGGCUGUUUGACUCCCAUCGUCCUCUUCGUGUUGUCCAGCGCCACCUAGUAUGGUGACACACAUUUUUCAUCAGCGCAUCUUUCAAGUCACAUUCAAGCAAACUUUGUGGUCCGAAGGAUACAGUAUGAAAAACACGUGUGCAUUAUAGUUCCUAACAUAUACGCCAUAAGUUGUAAUGAUAUAGAAGAGGGGUGUCCAAAGUGCGGCCCGCAGCUGUUUUUAUCGGCCUGCCACACAUUCUAAAAAAUCUAAUUUAACAUAAAAACUUAAAAAAAAAAACUGGGAAAAAAUUGAAAAAUCGGCAGUAAUUUUAGAGAUUAAAAAAAAGUUGUCAUCGAAUGUGAAAAUUUCAUAAUUUUAUGAGAAAAACCUAAUUAAAUAUUGAAAUAUUAAUACUACAUAAUGGUAAUAGUUUAAUUUAUUUUGAACGUGCCUAUAAGUUACAUUGGAAUACAAUUCAUAGUUCCACUUGUCCACAAAGGAGUAGGAAGAAGCAAAGCUUAUUUAAUCCUAUACAAAAUCCAAUAUUAAAGAAAAAAAGAUGUUUUUUUUAAAGUCACCAUUAUGAGAAACAAACAACGAAACAUUACAACAAAGUUGUAAUGUUUUGGAAAAUUCAUUUGCAGAAAGAGUUCUAAUGUUACGAGAAUAAAGUAAAAACAUGAUGGAAAUAAAGUCAUAAUCACAAGAAAAAAUUGAAAAGAAGAAAGCUGAAAGAGUUGGGGAACCCCCCCCCAGCAGAAAUAGAAAAAAACUGCUGUAAUUUUACGAGAAUAAAGUGAAAAUGUUAAAAGAAAAAAAGUCAUAAUCUAAUGAGAAACUAAACAAAAUAACAUUGUAAUUUUUGGAAAAUUAGGUUGGGAAAAAUGUUAUAAUAUCAUGGGAAUAAAGUCAAAAUAUGGGAAUAAAAUCAUAAUCAUGAGAAGAAAAAGUUGAAAAAAGAAAGUUAAAAUAGUUGGAAAAAAAACCCCAGCAGAAAUGGAACAAACAGCUGUCAUUGUAUGAGAAUAAAGUCAAAAUACAAAUAUAUAGAUAUAAAUGUAAAAGACAAAAAUGUAUUCUAAUGGGAAAGAAUGUCGCAAAAAUGAGAAAUAACCUUGUAAUAUGUAGAAAAAUAAUGUCUUUUAGUAGUUUAAAAAGUUGAUCUAUGAGGGAAAAAGAAAAAAAGAAAUAAAUAAUAAGAGGCUUUUCCACCUACAUGACAAAGAUGAGAUGCAGCUUUUUUUCUUCAAAUUUAUGGAACUUCUUCUCCUAUGAUUCUAGCAUAUCUACAUGUGUUGCUUUCCAAAAUGUCAAAGUUGCAUUCUUUCAUUUUUCACGAUGUGGCCCUUGCCCUUUGGACACCUGUGUAGAAUACAAUAGAAUAGAAUAGAAUAGAAUAAAAUAGAAUCUCUGCCUUAUGUUUAUUAUUGUGGUUGCAGUUUGCAGUGACACUGUAUCACUCGUUUCUAAUAAUUCAAAUUUUCCACAAUUCCGGAAAUGAAUGCAUCAUUUUUACACGUGUGGAUUUCUGAAACGAUUCAAAAUGUUCAGGCGCUCGUCUUUCAUCUGUCUAGUUUUUCCCCACGUUCCAAAAAUUCCACAAACUCCCCCGUUUUCCCCACCCAAAAAUUUUAGGUAAGUACUUAACACACAACAACAAUGAAGUAGCAUUCUGUGUGCGUAACGACGGCUACGCGCAAACAACAAACACGUCAUUUUAACAGUUAUUCACAAAGCGCCUACAAGGCAUGCUGGGUACUGUAGUGUUGGGUACUCCCCUCAAUACUACAUUACUACAUUAUAGUGAGAUAUUAGAUCUGCAAUAUAUGGAGCCCAGGACACAUCAUAGAUGUUUUUUUUUUUUAAAUUGCCCGUGCAUGUUUGUGUGUUUGAAACUGUAAUUUGUAACUUCAUGUUCUGUUGUUCAAUAAGGGGUUUAAAAAACAUGAUAAAGCUGCGGAUUUCUUAUGACACAAACCAAAAAGCUCCAUUUUACCUGUCCACACACAGACACCGAAUUCUGCGUCAUUGGCAAUUAUGCAAAUUAGAUGAAACUCGUUCCCCGGAAGAAAUGAAUUGCGGCAAACCUUGAGGCUAUGUCCGCGCUGUCUCUCCCUGACCACACACAGCUCCCACUGGGCAUCACCGCCGCCCUUCUCCAGGGCUGCCAGGAGAAGUCGGCACUCGCAGCGUGCCAGGAAGAAGGCGCAGGACAGGCGGAGGAGAUCCUCCAACACGUUUGGGCCGACUCUGAGGGACUGGAGCUGAAGCUGCUCCCGCCGCGUGGAGUACUGGUAUCCCAGCAAACCAAAAAGCUUCUCAAUCUGGGUGGCGGACAGCACGGGUUUGAUGUAGUGCGUGAACAUGCCGGAGUACAUCUGGGAGAAGAGAGAAGCAAAUGUUAUUCAGGAAAAUACUGUAUAAAGCACUUUUUUUUUUUAAUCCAUCAUCAACCUUGACUUCUUUGUACUCCUCCCUCCAGGGUCCAAGGUACAGGUUGAGAGCAGCUUGUUCCAGAACCUCAAAUGCUUUCCCUAGACCUUGCAAGCCUCCUCUUGCUUUCACGUGUUUGCCGCUACUUGCUCUCUGUGUUUUUGUUGAUGCGGCUUCCAUUCUGAGCGACUCUUCCAUCACCUUGAGAGUCUCCAGGCCCAAGCAGUGUGCUUGUUGAGCAUUCUCCUCCCUGAGUAACUCCUCCGCCUGCUUCCACAGCUCUUCAUUUCCACACGCCAGCAUCAGGCUAAACUCAUCUGAUGGCAGGCCGUCAAAGAAAAGGAAAGUGAAAGUGAAAUUAGACAUGGUUCAGAAAGUGGAGAAAUCAACACUGCCUCAAGAAGAAGGACGCCACACGGCUGGACAAACUUUUGAGGAAGGCAGGCUCUGUCAUUGGCACUGAGCUGGACAGCCUGACAUCUAUGGCAGAGCAAAGAACACCGAGGAGGCUCCUUUCCAUCAUGGACAACCAGCAUCAUCUCCCAACAGAAGAGACGUUCAAGUGGCAGAUUACUAUCACUGUCCUGCUCAACCGGAAGACUGAGCAGAUCAUUCCUCCCCCAUGCCAUGCAGCUUUUCAACACAACAGAGGGGGAGCAGUACAAACACACACAGGACUGGACUUACUACUUACUUACUGGAUUACAUUAUCACAAAUAAUUAUUAUUAUGUAUUAUUAUUAUUAUGUAUUGGAGUGAACUGUUCCGUAUUAUUGAUUUAUUCUUAUUCUAUUUUCUUAUUUUUCUUAUCUUGCCUGUCUUGCUUUGAUUAUUUAUUCUGAUUUUUUGGAGAAAUGUUCAAAAUGUGAAUUUCUCUUGGAGAUUACCUUAACACUGCACACGGUUUAUAGUGUCAUUAUUUUAGCUGAUAUUUUCUUCUGAUUUUUUAUUUAUUUUUUAAAUACCAUUCUUUCCUUUCAUACAAAAGUGGGGAAAAAAUGAUUGACAAAUGUCGGAAAAUAAUAUAUUGUAAGUGUCAACAAGUAAAAGCUAUGAUAUUAAUGAAUUAUCAGUAAUAGACAUUUGGAAAUGGGAGGAUUAAAUACCUUCCUACUCCUUGUCAGACAUGUUGAACUGUGCUAAUGUAACCAUGUGAUGAUGUUCCUUUAUCGAACUUGUUACGCACGUCUGAAACAAACAUAUCAUAUAGCAUA